rnacentral:rRNA from 1 species
UGGGGAAUAUUGGGCAAUGGGCGCAAGCCUGACCCAGCAACGCCGCGUGAGGGAAGAAGGUCUUCGGAUUGUAAACCUUUGUCCUUGGGGACGAAAAAAAUGACGGUACCCAAGGAGGAAGCCCCGGCUAACUACGUGCCAGCAGCCGCGGUAAUACGUAGGGGGCAAGCGUUGUCCGGAAUUACUGGGCGUAAAGGGUGCGCAGGCGGCUUUUUAAGUCAGAUGUGAAAUAUCCGGGCUUAACCUGGAGGGUGCAUUUGAAACUGGAAGGCUUGAGUGCAGGAGAGGCAAGUGGAAUUCCUAGUGUAGCGGUGAAAUGCGUAGAUAUUAGGAGGAACACCAGUGGCGAAGGCGACUUGCUGGACUGUAACUGACGCUGAGGCACGAAAGCGUGGGGAGCAAACA